rnacentral:rRNA from 1 species
UGCAAGUCGAACGAUGAAGCCCUUCGGGGUGGAUUAGUGGCGAACGGGUGAGUAACACGUGGGCAAUCUGCCCUUCACUCUGGGACAAGCCCUGGAAACGGGGUCUAAUACCGGAUAACACUCCUGCCUGCAUGGGCGGGGGUUAAAAGCUCCGGCGGUGAAGGAUGAGCCCGCGGCCUAUCAGCUUGUUGGUGGGGUAAUGGCCUACCAAGGCGACGACGGGUAGCCGGCCUGAGAGGGCGACCGGCCACACUGGGACUGAGACACGGCCCAGACUCCUACGGGAGGCAGCAGUGGGGAAUAUUGCACAAUGGGCGAAAGCCUGAUGCAGCGACGCCGCGUGAGGGAUGACGGCCUUCGGGUUGUAAACCUCUUUCAGCAGGGAAGAAGCGCAAGUGACGGUACCUGCAGAAGAAGCACCGGCUAACUACGUGCCAGCAGCCGCGGUAAUACGUAGGGUGCGAGCGUUGUCCGGAAUUAUUGGGCGUAAAGAGCUCGUAGGCGGCUUGUCACGUCGGAUGUGAAAGCUCGGGGCUUAACUCCGAGUCUGCAUUCGAUACGGGCUAGCUAGAGUGUGGUAGGGGAGAUCGGAAUUCCUGGUGUAGCGGUGAAAUGCGCAGAUAUCAGGAGGAACACCGGUGGCGAAGGCGGAUCUCUGGGCCAUUACUGACGCUGAGGAGCGAAAGCGUGGGGAGCGAACAGGAUUAGAUACCCUGGUAGUCCACGCCGUAAACGUUGGGAACUAGGUGUUGGCGACAUUCCACGUCGUCGGUGCCGCAGCUAACGCAUUAAGUUCCCCGCCUGGGGAGUACGGCCGCAAGGCUAAAACUCAAAGGAAUUGACGGGGCCCGCACAAGCAGCGGAGCAUGUGGCUUAAUUCGACGCAACGCGAAGAACCUUACCAAGGC